GACGAACGCUGGCGGCGUGCUUAACACAUGCAAGUCGAACGGAAAGGCCCUGCUUUUGUGGGGUGCUCGAGUGGCGAACGGGUGAGUAACACGUGAGUAACCUGCCCUUGACUUUGGGAUAACUUCAGGAAACUGGGGCUAAUACCGGAUAGGAGCUCCUGCUGCAUGGUGGGGGUUGGAAAGUUUCGGCUGGUGGGGAUGGACUGGCGGCUUAUCAGCUUGUUGGUGGGGUAGUGGCUUACCAAGGCUUUGACGGGUAGCCGGCCUGAGAGGGUGACCGGCCACCUGGGGACUGCGAGACGGCCCAGAGUCCUACGGGAGGCAGCAGUCGGGAAUAUUGCACAAUGGGCGGAAGCCUGAUGCAGAAACGUCGCGUGCGGGAUGACGGCUUUCGGGUUGUAAACCGCUUUCGCCUGUGACGAAGCGUGAGUGACGGUAAUGGGUAAAGAAGCACCGGCUAACUACGUG
rnacentral:rRNA from 1 species